rnacentral:rRNA from 1 species
AUAUUGGACAAUGGGGGCAACCCUGAUCCAGCCAUGCCGCGUGUGUGAAGAAGGUCUUCGGAUUGUAAAGCACUUCAAGUUGGGAGGAAGGGCUUUAGGUUAAUACCCUGAAUUUUUGACGUUACCAACAGAAUAAGCACCGGCUAACUCUGUCCCAGCAGCCGCGGUAAUACAGAGGGUGCAAGCGUUAAUCGGAAUUACUGGGCGUAAAGCGCGCGUAGGUGGAUCAAUAAGAUGGGUGUGAGAACCCCGGGAUUAACCUAGGAACUGCUUUCAUAACUGCUGGGCUAGAGUACGGUAGAGGGUAGUGGAAUUUCCUGUGUAGCGGUGAAAUGCGUAGAUAUAGGAAGGAACAACAGUGGCGGAGGCGACUACCUGGACUGAUACUGACACUGAGGUGCGAAAGCGUGGGGAGCAAAC